rnacentral:rRNA from 1 species
UGACCCCAGGUCAGGCGGGAUCACCCGCUGAGUUUAAGCAUAUCAAUAAGUGGAGGAAAAGAAACUUAUCGGGAUUCCUCUAGUAACAACGAGCGAAUCAGAAAGAGCUCAACUUGAGAAUCAGGUGCCCCCGACGUCUGAAUUGUAGUCUGGCGAAGCGUCCUCAGCAUCGGACUAGGCCCAAGUCCUCUGGAAAGGAGCGCCAGAGAGGGUGAGAGCCCCGUUGUGCCCGGACCCUAUCGCACCACGAGGCGCUGUUCGUGAGUCAGGUUGUUUAGGAAUGUAGCCCUAAUCGGACGGUAAAUUUCGUCCAAGGUUAAAUACGAGCAAGAGACCGAUAGUGAACAAAUACCACGAGGGAAAGAUGAAAAGGACUUUGAAAAGAGAGUCAAAGAGUGCUUGGUAUUGUCAGGAAGGAAGCAGAUGGGGGUCGACGAUGCACCCCAGUCGGAUGUGGAAUGGCGAGAGCUAGUCCAUCGAUCGGCUCAGGGCGUGGACCGAUACGGGUCACGAUGGCAGUCCAAGCUCGGGAUUUCGAUGUGCCCACGGAGAUGUCAUCACCGCGAUAGUGGAAUACAACACACGUCGUCUCGGUGUGCCUCGACACCGGUGUGCUCCAGGCAUCGGCUUACGGGCUCCCCAUCUGGCCAGUCUUGAAACACGGACCAAGGAGUCUGACAUGCGUACGAGUCAAUAGGCCAGAAAACCUGUAAGAUGCAAGGAAGUUGAUUGAUGGGAUCCCUCAUGGGUGCACCGUCGAUCGACCUUGAUCUUUUGAGAAGGGUUUGAGUGCGAGCAUGCUCGUCGGGACCCGAAAGAUGGCAACUAUGCCUAAGCGGGGUAAAGCCAGAGGAAACUCUGGUGGAGGCCCACAGUGAUACUGACGUGCAAAUCGUUCAUCUGACUUGGGUAUAGGGGCGAAAGGCUAAUUGAACCGUCUAGUAGCUGGUUCCCUCUGAAGUUUCCCUCAGGAUAACUAAAGCCCCCGUCGAGUUCUAUCGAGUAAAGCCAAUGAUUAGAGGCAUCAGGGGCGCAACGCCCUCAACCUAUUCUCAAACUUUAAAUAGGUAGGACGACGCGACUGCUUCGUUGAGCCGCACCACAGAAUUGAGAGCUCCAAGUGGGCCAUUUUUGGUAAGUAGAACUGGUGAUACGGGAUGAACCAAAAGUCGGGUUAGCGUGCAGUUACGGUGCCCAACUGCACGCUAACCCAGAACCCACAAAGGGUGUUGGUCGAUUAAAACAGCAGGACGGUGGUCAUGGAAGUCAAAAUCUACUAAAAAGUGUGUAACAACUCACCUGCCGAAUCAACUAGCCCCGAAAAUGGAUGGCGCUUAAGCAUGCUACCUAUAUUUGGCUGUGGGGGCAAGGGCUUAAGCAUGAGUAGGAGGGUGCGAUGAUCGUCGUAAAACCUGGGGUGUGAGCCCGGGUGGAGCAACUAUCAGUGCAGAUUUUGGUGGUAGUAGCAAAUAUUCAAAUGAAAACUUUGAAGGCCGAAGAGGGGAAAGGUUCCAUGUGAACGACACUUGCACAUGGGUUAGUCGAUCCUAAAAGAUGGGGAAAGCCCAUCCGAAAGUACGUCCCGUGCCAGCUUCGAAAGAGAAUUAGGUUAAAAUUCUUGAACAGAGAUGCGACAACUGAUGACAACGUUAGGGAGUCCAAAGACAUCGGUGGAGGCCUCGGGAAGAGUUAUCUUUUCUAUUUAACGGCCCACCCACCUUGGAAAUGGCUCAGCCAGAAGUAGUGUCCAGUGGCCAGAAGAGCACUGCACGUCACGUGGUGUCUGGUGCACCCCCGGUGGCCCUUGAAAAUUUGAAAGACUGAGUGUCAUCCGCGCCCGAUCGUACUCAUAACCACAUCAAGUCUCCAAGGUGAACAGCCUCUGUCGGUGGAACAAUGUAGGCAAAGAAAGUUGACAAAAUGGAUCCGUAACCUCAAGAAAAGGAUUGGCUUUGAGGGCUGGGCAUGGGGGUCCAGUCCUAAACCCGUCGACUAUCGAUACACUGCUCGAGCUGCUCCCAUGGUGAGAGUGGGUCACCGGGUUACCGGUUGGGGGACGAACUGGAAACUGCUCCCUUGGGGGCCUUCCUCGGGUGACAAACAGUCGACUCAAAACUGGUAUGAAUAAGGGGAAUCUGACUGUUUAAUUAAAACAAAGCAUUGCGAUGGUCCUUGCAAAUGCUCACGUAAUGUGAUUUCUACCCAGUGCUCUGAAUGUCAAAGUGAAGAAAUUCAACCAAGCACGGGUAAACAGCGGGAGUAACUAUGACUCUCUUAAGGUAGCCAAAUGCCUCGUCAUCUAAUUAGUGAUGCACAUGAAUGGAUUAGCGAGAUUCCCACUGUCCCUGUCUACUAUCCCGCGAAACCAUAACUAAGAGAACGGGCUUGGUGGAAUCAGUGGGGAAAGAAGACCCUGUUGAGCUUGACUCUAGUUCGACUUUGUGGAAUGACUUGAGAGGUGUAGGAUAAGUGGGAGCCCCAGGGCAAAAUUAAAAUACCACUACUUUUAACGUUAUUUUACUUAUUCCAUGAAUCGGAGGUGGGGCACGACCUCUUCUUUUGGACCCAGGGUCGGCCUUAACCGAUCGAUCUGGGUGAAAGACAUUGUCAGGUGAAGAGUUUGGCUGGGGCGGUACAUCUGAUAAAAGAUAACGUAGGUGUCCUAAGAUGAGCUCAAUGAGAAUAGAAAUCUUGUGUGGAACAAAAGGGCAAAAGCUCAUUUGAUUCUAAUUUCCAGUACGAAUACAAAUCGUGAAAGCGUGGCCAUCUAUCCUUUAGACCUUUAGGAUUUGAAGCUAGAGGUGUCAGAAAAGUUACCACAUGGAUAACUGGCUUGUGGCAGCCAAGUGUUCAUAGCGAUGUUGCUUUUUGAUCCUUCGACGUCGGCUCUUCCUAUCAUUGUGAAGCAGAAUUCACUAAGUGUUGGAUUGUUCACCCACCAAUAGGGAACAUGAGCUGGGUUUACACCAUCAUGAGAUAGGUUAGUUUUACCCUACUGAUGGUGGCGUCACGAUAGUAAUUCAACCUAGUAUGAGAGGAACCGUUGAUUCACACAAUUGGUCAUCAUGCUUGGUUGAAAAGCCAGUGGCGUGAAGCUACCGUGUGUUGGAUUAUGAUUGAACGCCUCUAAGUCAAAAUUCGGGCUAAAAGUGAUGCGCGCGCCCGUCGCCCGAUUGUUGACCCGUAGUAGGGGCCCAUGGCCCCUAAGGGCACAUGUCAUAAGUGCAGCCCCCGGGGUGGAUGAGCUGCACGGGCCUCCUUGGAGCUCAAUUCCCAUCGAG